GCCGGGCGUGGUGGCGCACGCCUUUAAUCCUAGCACUUGGGAGGCAGAGGCAGGCGGAUUUCUGAGUUCGAGGCCAGCCUGGUCUACAGAGUGAGUUCCAGGACAGCCAGGGCUACACAGAGAAACCCUGUCUCGAAAAACCUAAAAAAAACAAAAACAAAAACAAAAAACAACAACAACAAAAAUAAUGCAGUCAGUGACUUGAAAGUGGGGUUUUACAAAGAUGGGAGAGCCUGGAGAGAUGGCUAAGUAGUUAAGAGCACUGACUGCUCUUCCAGAGGUCCUGUGUUCAAUUCUCAGCAACCCCAUGGUGGCUCACAACCAUCUGUAAUGGGAAUGGACGCCAUCUUCUGGUGUGUCUGAAGACAGCUACAGUGUACUCAUAUAAAUAAAUAAAUCUUGAAGCUUUUCUCUUGCUUUCAGGCAAAUCUUAAAGUGUAACAGCUGUGAGCCCACCCAGUCCACUCAGUGCUGAUGGAGUCCUCGAAGCAGUGGGCCUCACAUUCCGCCUUCCUUCCUUCCUUCCUUCCUUCCUUCCUUCCUUCCUUCCUUCCUCAGCUUACCCCAAUAGACACUACUGAUGAGCAGAGAUGCCUCCAUAAAUCAUAGGUGCCCGUGGUCAUCACGUGGGUUUUCCCCACCUGCCCUGGGACAAGCCUGGAGCCAUGUGCAUACCAGCAAACACUCUGCUACUGAGCUCCACCCAGCCUUUCCAACUCCUCUUUUGUUGUAUUUUCUGAGUUGGGUGGGUGGGUGAUGUAGAUAUCUCAGUUUACCAAAGCGUUCAGUAGUCCCUUGUUCUCAGCAUCCUGACCAGUUAGUUGUGAGCCACUGCCCACUACAAAAGAAUCUUCUCCAGAGCUAGGUGGACAGACAGACACAUCAUGUCUACCUAGAAGAACGUAGCUUCUCUGCUAAGGCUAUGACCUCCCCAGCCAGGGGCUUUGACCAUGUACAGAACCAUGUGAGCUGUAUCCUUUAGAGCAGGCGUCACAUUUAAUCAGAAAGUGGUUGGUUACCCCGUACCAGACUUACCAUGACUGCACCAGUGGGCACAUCUUGCUUGACACUUUGGUCGUAAGUAAGCAUGCAGGGGCCAUAGCUUGGUGAGAUUGUCAAUGUUCUGUUUCCCCCAACAGCCUUGCAUUAGUAACUCAAGCCUAUGAAGGCUCGCUCUCUGGCUGAGCCUCCAGCCCCGUUCCAGCUUGAUUUCUCUAUGUGCUGUGACAAGAACAAGCGCCUUCUUCGGCAGUAGGGUCUUACCAUCUAGUGCCACACCAGUGGCGGGUGCCUUUAUUGCUUUGGGGACUUCAGAUCUGGAUGAUUUUUACUUAGUCUAGUUAAAUAGUUUGUAUCACCUAUAAUCUUUCAUCUAAAAGCAAGACGCUGCUUCAGGGAAACAUCUAAAAGCUUUGUCAAUCUGCAGAAAUCAAGUCCCCACUAAUAUCCUUUAUUAACACUUAAGAUGUGCUAGUACAUGGGUAAGAUGUUGUCUUUUGAACUUGGAAUUUUGUUCCAAAUUUUUCAAAUUUUAUUUUUCUGAAUGACUACGGCUUUUCUAGGUAACCUAUAGUGUUUCCCUGUCCAUAUACAUUUUUUUGUUUGGUUUUUUUGUUUUUUGAGACAGGGUUUCUCUGUGUAGCCCUGGCUGUCCUGGAACUCACUCUGUAGACCAGGCUGGCCUCGAACUCAGAAAUCUGCCUGCCUCUGCCUCCCAAGUGCUGGGAUCAAAGGCGUGCGCCACCACGCCUGGCUACAUUUUUAAAAUCAUAUUUUGAGGAGUUUGAUGGUUUUUUAAGACGUAGCGUGUAAUUUUGUAAAAAUUUUUCUUUAAACGUUGUUUCUUCCUGAUUGCCCCUUCUUAGCAUGUUCCUACCCACAUCCCACCCCCUCUCCCCGUAGUUAAACAUUUAUUUAUUUCACUUUAAGAAAAAUGAUUAUUGUCUAGGACUUACUUGUCUUUCCUAAUGAGGCCCUGGUGCUGCCCCCUGGGCUUUGUGUUUUCUUUAGAACUGAUAAUUACCUCUGCGCGCCUGUACUCAGCCCAGAAGUCAAUUGCAGAGGGAGAAGAGGAUGCACAGGAAACGUCCAUUUAUAAUGUGUGCUGUGUGAGUAAAGUUCAUGAUGCUAAAAUAGCAUAGAACAACAUCAGGCAGUCAGGUCGACCCUGUCUUGACGCAGGCACACAGAUGCGGUAGCUGCCAGGCUUUAAAUACUCCGUGUGGUACUAUUUCAAAGCCCAAGGGUUUCUGUUGCUCUGAUGAGACGCCGUGACCAAAAGCCACUGUGGAAAGAAAGGGUUUAUUCCUUCUUACUGCUCUCAGGUCACAGUCAUCACUGAGUGAAGUCAGGACAGGAAUUCAAGACAGAAAUCAAGGCAGGAAGUGAAGCAGAGGCCACGCCCACUGGCUUGCUCAGCUUGCUUUCUAAAGCCCUCUGACCCAGGGGCGGCACCACCCACCGUGAUCUCAGUCCUCCCACUUCAAUCAUCAAGAAAAUGCACCGCAGUCUUGCCUACAGACCAAUCGGGUAAGAGCAUCGUCUCAGAUGAGCUUCUCCCUCCCAAAAUGACUCUGGCUUGUGUCAGGUUGACGUAAAGUUUGCCAGCACAGUCUUGUUUACUGCCAGCAUUUUGAUUCACAACUUGGCCCUUAUCUGGGUCAUAUUUUUAAAAAAAAAUGAUUUGUUAUUAUUUCGAACUGUGUAUGGACGUGGGUAUCUGCACGUGGGUAUCUGCACAAGAAUGCAGGUGCUUUUAGAGGCCAAAGGCAUCAGAUCCCAGGAGCUGGAAUUACAGAUGGCGGUGAGCUGCCUGAAGUGCGUUCUGGGAACCAAGCGCUGGUGCUCUGGGAGAGAGCCAGUACUCAGCCUCUGAGCCAUCUUUCUAGUCCCCCCAAAUUAAUAUAUGCAUGUAUCUCCAGUCCCCCCUCAAAUUAAUGUGUACAUGUAUGCACCACUUGUACGGAUGGUGUCCACAGAGACCCAAAGAGGGCCUUGGAUCCCCUGGAGCUGGAGUUACAAACAGUGGUGAGCCACCCUAUGGGUGGUGGGAAUUGGAAGAACAGUCAGUGCUUUUAACCACUGAGCCAUCCCUCCAGUGGUUUUUGUUUGAUUGUUUGGUUGAGUUUGUUGUUGUUGUUGUUGUUGUUGUUGUUUGAUUGAGGCUUCCCUGCUUCCAGAGUCACGCCUCUUCAACCCUAAGUCCAGCCAGUAGUCACUGGAUCCUACGUAUGGGGGCUGUAAGAGCAAGACAAGCAGCGUUCAUUCGUGGUCUCUGCUUUAGUUCAUGUCUCUAGGUUCUUGCCUUGAGUUGCUACUUUAGUUUCCCUGUAACCUGUAAGCCAAGAGC
rnacentral:lncRNA from 1 species